rnacentral:misc_RNA from 1 species
GUGAAUCAUCGAAUUUUUGAACGCAAAUUGCGCCUUUUUCGGAAGGCAUGUCUGUUUGAGGGCACCAUUUAACAAAUAAUGUGCAGCGUUUUUUGUUGCACACGUUGAUGAGCUUUCAAGGAAUUUUAAAUUUUGGGUGGGGCUUAAUGAACAGGGUGAAAGUUUUUUUAAUUUCGAGUGUGGUAAAAUUUUUGUUUGGGUGGUGAAGGAACAAAAUGCGAA